rnacentral:rRNA from 1 species
GACGAACGCUGGCGGCGUGCUUAACACAUGCAAGUCGAACGAUGAAGCCGGAGCUUGCUCUGGUGAAUUAGUGGCGAACGGGUGAGUAACACGUGAGUAACCUGCCCUUGACUCUGGGAUAACUGCGGGAAACUGUAGCUAAUACCGGAUACGACCCUCGGAGGCAUCUCCUGGGGGUGGAAAGAAUUUCGGUCAAGGAUGGACUCGCGGCCUAUCAGCGAGUUGGUGCGGUAAAGGCCCACCAAGGCGACGACGGGUAGCCGGCCUGAGAGGGUGACCGGCCACACUGAGACUGAGACACGGCACAGACUCCUACGGGAGGCAGCAGUGGGGAAUAUUGCACAAUGGGCGCAAGCCUGAUGCAGCAACGCCGCGAGAGGGAUGACGGCCUUCGGGUUGUAAACCUCUUUUAGCAGGGAAGAAGCGAAAGUGACGGUACCUGCAGAAAAAGCACCGGCUAACUACGUGCCAGCCGCCGCCGUAA